UACGUAGGGCGCAAGCGUUGUCCGGAAUUAUUGGGCGUAAAGAGCUCGUAGGCGGCUUGUCACGUCGGGUGUGAAAGCCCGGGGCUUGACCCCGGGUCUGCAUUCGAUACGGGCUGGCUAGAGUGUGGUAGGGGAGAUCGGAAUUCCUGGUGUAGCGGUGAAAUGCGCAGAUAUCAGGAGGAACACCGGUGGCGAAGGCGGGUCUCUGGGCCGAUACUGACACUGAGGAGCGAAAGCCAGGGGAGCAAACGGG
rnacentral:rRNA from 1 species